AAGUGAGUAAGGGAUGUAGGCUACAUCCAGCCGUCUAUUAUCGCAAAAUAAACACUGAGAAGGGUGAAUGACCCAGAUGUGAAGUAGCCAUAUAGUAGCAGCUAUUCACUAGUGUGAAUUGAGUUGUUUUAGUUACAAAAAACAGCAAUAUCCUUUCAUUGACAUAGUGCUUAAAACUAUUCUUUUGGAAUGUGUGGUUAACGAUUUACAUUCAAGCUAGGUAAAUUUGCCUUUACAUAUGAUAAUCACAGGUGAUUGCAGUUUAGUAACUUCCUGCAUGUUUUUAUCUCGCUAGACCAGGUGUUAAUAGACUACAUUAAAUGCUUCAAUUCACUAGCAGAUAUACUAGCAGUGAAACAAUCAGAGGCAGAAUUAAGACAGAAAAUCAUAUUGUUGUUGUAAAUAAGCUAUUCAUCUAAGCUGAUUCAUUCAUCAACUAUUUGUAAAUAACCUGUUCAGUUGUAACAAGUGUAUCGACUGUUUUUGCUUCGGCACUUAUUAUAUUGUCUGCUCUACUCUUCGCAAAAGCUGGAAAAACAUUUUGGCCACAACUUAGGGACGUGAAAAGGGCUGUCACUCAUUUACUUCACCUUACUUUAUAGUUAAUUCAACGUUUACAUACUGGUGGUUGAUGUAAAACGUUAAAAAAGUUAAAGUAAAUAGGAUUUUUAAAAGUAAAAUACUUGUGUUUAGGUUCAUUAUGUAAAAAACAGGAAUUUUACUUUUUAAAUGGUUAGUUCUGUGGAUAUCUUAAUAAUAUGGUAUCUGUUUCUCUAUGGCAUUUUAUUUAAAAAUCUUUAAUCCCAAUCAGAGCAUUUGAGCAAAGAUUGCAUUGCGCUCGACCCAAUCCAAGCAAACGUUCCACUUGUGUGCCGCUCACACUCACAUCUGAUCAAAUCCCGCUCCUACAGGUUGUUUCUCUGUGCUAGAUAUAUCGUUCUCUUUGUCAUAAACUUCUUGAUCAAAUGUCUUAAUUGCAGUUGGCUUAUGGAUAACAGUUAAGAUAUUUGUGGAUUUAACAUCCUUAGCUCUUUAACCUAAAAAAUGUAUUAAUCUUUGUGAGGAGCGCAUGUAAGCAACCGGUAAUUAUGAAUAUUUUUUAACUGGAAGUUAUUACAAGCACUCACUUACGGUUUCUUAUUUUGGGACAAAAAAAACAACAACACAAAAAUAACAUAAACAUGCACUUCCAUUCAUCAUCUGAGCCACACCAAAUAAAAACAAACAUACAUUAAAAAAUACACUGUGGAUAUUUUGAAAACAUCUUAAAAAAUUGAAUUAGGGACUGACUGGACAUGUAAGGGGUGCAAUUGUUAGAAAUUAUUUUUGACAGAAUCAAAAUGGUUUCAGUAAUGGUUUUAGCUUUGUUGUGUUCCUAGAUCCAUUUACCACAUCCAUGUUUUAGACAUUCCAAAUAUGUAUUAUCAAGUAUUAUCAAUUGUAUAAGUUUUUGUAUUUGAGCUAACAUAUCUGUUUAAUACUAACAGUCUGAGUAAGUAACAUUAAGCUCUCAAGUGUCUGCUUACUAAAGCAAGAUUUAUGACAUACUCAUCAUAUUUCAUUUAUUCCCCACCUGCUAAAACAAGGGCUGUCUUAGAAAAUGUUAAUGUGUUUAAGUAUAAACAUUGAUAUAUAAACGUGUAAAAAUACAUGUGGUGUGAUUUGACUGUAUUGUAAACAGCUCUGCUAAAUUACAGAGCUGAUUGAAACAUAUCCCAAUGGCUGUGAUCGGACGCUUUCUCACUGUGUUUUCAGUCCCUGAGUGGACUGAGCUGCAACCCCCACUACCUGCAGGACAUUAGCAUCUCUAUGGAGAACGGCUUCAAAGGCCAGGCUGUGAAAGUUUACCUUAGACCUAAAAAUACACAUGCUUAAACAAGUCAUCCUAUACUUAAAACACUCUGAGGACUCUGCAUGUAUUUUUUGAGAGAUUCAACAAGAGGAACUAUUAAUAUGAGCUUUCGUUUCAGAUGUGGUAUAAAGGUUUAGUUAAACCAACAAAAAUAUGAAUGCCCAUGGUAAUCUGCUACAUCCCUAUAACAUCAUUUGAUUUAUAAAUGAGCAGAUUUUUUAUUUAUUUAUUUUUUUACAUUGUGGUAAAUUACUUUUUUCUGUCUUUUAAAAUAUUUUAAAUAGUAAAUUAAUUGUAUAUCGCCUACUUUCUUUAAAUGCUGCACCAUCCCAUAGUUUGAUAUUAUUUUUGAACUUUUCCUUUAUUAACUUUAUCAUGUUUUAUCUGCCAUUGAUAUAGGUUUGUGUUCUGUGCUCUAUUUAAAAUGCAUGCAAAAUAAUACUAAUUAUGAAAAGUACUUUUUCCUGAUCCAGUUGAUGUUUACAACUGGAUUUAAAACUAAUUUACCAACAGAUUCUACCCUUAUGUUAAUCUAGCUAUUUGAUUUCAAUCACAAAACAUUUGCAUAACAGAACCAAUAGUAAUGUUGGCUAACUGUGGUUUAUCCGAUGGCCCAAUCACUGCUCCGAUAGCAGAACGUAUAUCUCUCUAUUCCAGGUUCCUAAUUCACACUUCAUGUUUGGCAUUUGGAAGAGCACAACUUUAGAAGACUUCAACGAGAUUGUUUCCUACAUUGGAGAGUUAUCUUUCUAUUAUAGUUUAAAGAUUUAUCUACCUACAAGAUCCCAAGAUCCUAAGCGCACUGAGCCAUUUCUCAUCUCACUUUUUUUCUUUCCGAAGUAAAAGGAAAAUGAGACCCAAAAGAGUUUCUCCUGAAAAGGAAGCCUUGUACUUCAUUGCUUCGGGGAAAGAUAAAGACACAUUCGAGAAAAAAUUAAUGUGUGAAGAGAAAGGUAAGUUACGGCAUUCAAUUCUGCCAUCAGUAUGACUUUGCAAAACUUAAUUAAAAGCUAAGUUUGGUCUCUAAAUAAUGUCGAAUGGUUGGGUUUAAAAUGUGUAGCUAAAAACAACAGGCUGUUAAAAAAAAACACAAGAGAAACAAAAAAACAUGAUUGAAUCAGUUAAAGGUGGAUUUAUAUCUGUUUUCCUGCCUGUAUUUAUGCUAGCUGCUGAUGUCCAAAUUAAACUCCAUUGUGUAGAUGUGCGAGUGAUCUUGAUAUUAUUUGUAUGUAACUGCCAGUUAGACUCCGGGGGCCUGUUUAACAAUGGAAAUUAUCAAUAUUCAGUGUCAUGAUACAUAUGAGUUUUGUAGUUUUGCACUUUUAGAUGUAGAUAUCGUAUUUGUUUUCCAAGCAGGGCUACCAUUUAAAACAGUUUAGACAACCUUAACAACUUUAUGAAUCUUUUCUCAUACUUAAUUUACACUUAUUUAUACCCAAUUUAUUAGGUUUUGGAGUAAUCGCCACAAAACAUAUUGAGCCAGGAGAAUUCCUACUGGAGUAUGUUGGAAGACACAUGGCUGGAUCUGAAGGAGAGACCCUGCUCAAAGACUACUCAGCUGAAGAUGCAGUUUUUUUUAUAUUUCUACUCCUUUCAGGGACAAUCUUACUGGUAAGAUUAAAUUAAUGAAUGUUCUAAUGAAGUAUAAUUACAUCAUAUUAUGGUAUGUUUAUAUACAGUGUUUUUAAAAUAUUUCACCAUACAGUGUUGAUGGCAGUAAAGCUACAGAAAAUCUCGGACGAUACAUAAAUGAUGACCACAUCAAGCCAAACAGCAAAAUUAAAAUAAUAAUGGAUGAAAAGAAAAUGCCACAUUUGUGUGUAUUUGCGUUAACAAAAAUCAAGCCAAUCAUACCAAAGAAAAAAUCAUACCAAAGCCUAUGGACUAGUAUGCAGGAGUGAUCCAGCUCUCAGAUUUCAUAAAAAAUAUCUUAAUUUGUGUUCGGAAGA